rnacentral:rRNA from 1 species
GAUGAACGCUGGCGGCGUGCCUAAUACAUGCAAGUCGAGCGAACAGACGAGGAGCUUGCUCCUCUGACUUUAGCGCCGGACGGGUGAUUAACACGUGGUUAACCUACCUAUACGACUGGGAUAACUUCGGGAAACCGGAGCUAAUACCCGAUAAUAUAUUGAACCGCAUGGUUCAAUAGUGAAAGACGGUUUUGCUUUCACUUAUAGCUUACUCCGCGCCGCAUUCACUAGUUGGUAGGGUAACGGCUUAGCAAGGCAACGAUGCGUAGCCGACCUGAGAGGGUGAUCGGCCACACUGGAACUGAGACACGGUCCAGACUCCUACGGGAGGCACCAGUAGGGAAUCUUCCGGAAUGGGCGAAAGCGUGACGGAGCAACGCCGCGUGAGUGAUGAAGGUCUUCGGAUCGUAAAACUCUGUUAGUAGGGAAGAACAAAUGUGUAAGUAACUAUGCACGUCUAGACGGUACCUAAUCAGAAAGCCACGGCUAACUACGUG